UAUCAUAAGGCCAAUUAAAUAAUCAUAAAUACAAACAACAGAGGUCAUUAAAAAUUAUAAUAAUGUUCAUUGACAUAAAAAAAAUUUCUAAGUGGCGGAGCACGGUGGCUCAUGCCUAUAAUCCCAGCACUUUGGGAGGCCAAGGCAGGCAAUCACUUGGGGCCAGUAGUUUGACACCAGCCUGGCCAACAUGGCAAAACCCCGUCUCUAC